UACGUAGGGUGCGAGCGUUAAUCGGAAUUACUGGGCGUAAAGGGUGCGCAGGCGGUUCCGCAUGUCGGGCGUGAAAUCCCCGGGCUUAACCUGGGAAUGGCGUCCGAAACUAUGGGACUGGAGUGUGGCAGAGGGAGGUGGAAUUCCGCGUGUAGCAGUGAAAUGCGUAGAUAUGCGGAGGAACACCGAUGGCGAAGGCAGCCUCCUGGGAUAACACUGACGCUCAUGCACGAAAGCGUGGGGAGCAAACAGG
rnacentral:rRNA from 1 species